UGCCAGCCGCCGCGGUAAUACGAAGGGUGCUAGCGUUGUUCGGAAUUAUUGGGCGUAAAGAGUAUGUAGGCGGCUUAGUAAGUUGGAUGUGAAAGCCCAGGGCUCAGCCCUGGAAUUGCAUCCAAAACUGCUAGGCUAGAAUAUGUUGGGGGAUAGCGGAAUUUCUAGUGUAGGGGUGAAAUCCGUAGAUAUUAGAAGGAACACCAGUGGCGAAGGCGGCUAUCUAUGACAUUAUUGACGCUGAGAUACGAAAGCGUGGGGAGCAAACAGGAUUAGAUA
rnacentral:rRNA from 1 species